rnacentral:rRNA from 1 species
UACGUAGGGGGCGAGCGUUGUCCGGAAUUACUGGGCGUAAAGCGCGCGUAGGUGGCCUGGUAAGAUGGGCGUGAAAUCCCCGAGCUCACCUCGGGGGGGGCGUCCGUGACUGCUGGGCUGGGGUGCGGCAGAGGCGGGUGGAAUUCCCGGUGGAGCGGUGAAAUGCGUAGAGAUCGGGAGGAACACCAGUGGCGGAGGCGACCCGCUGGGCCGACACCGACGCUGAGGCGCGAAAGCGUGGGGAGCGAACCGG